GAUGAACGCUGGCGGCGUGCCUAAUACAUGCAAGUCGAGCGAACAGACGAGGAGCUUGCUCCUCUGACGUUAGCGGCGGACGGGUGAGUAACACGUGGAUAACCUACCUAUAAGACUGGGAUAACUUCGGGAAACCGGAGCUAAUACAGGAUAAUAUAUUGAACCGCAUGGUUCAAUAGUGAAAGAAGGGUUUGCUGGUACUUAUAGAUGGACUCGCGCCGCAUUAGCUAGUUGGUAAGGUACCGGCUUACCAAGGCAACGAUGCGUAGCCGACCUGAGAGGGUGAGCGGCCACACUGGAACUGAGACACGGUCCAGACUCCUACGGGAGGCAGCAGUAGGGAAUCUUCCGCAAUGGGCGAAAGCCUGACGGAGCAACGCCGCGUGAGUGAUGAAGGUCUUCGGAUCGUAAAACUCUGUUAUUAGGGAAGAACAAAUGUGUAAGUAACUAUGCACGUCUUGACGGUACCUAAUCAGAAAGCCAUGGCUAACUACGUGCCAGCCGCCGCCGUAACAC
rnacentral:rRNA from 1 species